rnacentral:rRNA from 1 species
AGUGAACGCUGGCGGUAGGCCUAACACAUGCAAGUCGAACGGCAGCACAGUAAGAGCUUGCUCUUACGGGUGGCGAGUGGCGGACGGGUGAGGAAUACAUCGGAAUCUACUUUUUCGUGGGGGAUAACGUAGGGAAACUUACGCUAAUACCGCAUACGACCUACGGGUGAAAGCAGGGGAUCUUCGGACCUUGCGCGAUUGAAUGAGCCGAUGUCGGAUUAGCUAGUUGGCGGGGUAAAGGCCCACCAAGGCGACGAUCCGCAGCUGGUCUGAGAGGAUGAUCAGCCACACUGGAACUGAGACACGGUCCAGACUCCUACGGGAGGCAGCAGUGGGGAAUAUUGGACAAUGGGCGCAAGCAUGAUCCAGCCAUACCGCGUGGGUGAAGAAGGCCUUCGGGUUGUAAAGCCCUUUUGUUGGGAAAGAAAAGCAGCAGGUUAAUACCCCGCUGUUCUGACGGUACCCAAAGAAUAAGCACCGGCUAACUUCGUG